AUUGAACGCUGGCGGCAGGCCUAACACAUGCAAGUCGAGCGGAUGAAGGGAGCUUGCUCCUGGAUUCAGCGGCGGACGGGGGAGUAAUGCCUAGGAAUCUGCCUGGUAGUGGGGGAUAACGUCCGGAAACGGGCGCUAAUACCGCAUACGUCCUGAGGGAGAAAGUGGGGGAUCUUCGGACCUCACGCUAUCAGAUGAGCCUAGGUUGGAUUAGCUAGGUGGUGGGGUAAAGGCCUACCAAGGCGACGAUCCGUAACUGGUCUGAGAGGAUGAUCAGUCACCUUGGAACUGAGACACGGCCCAGACUCCUACGGGAGGAAGCAGUGGGGAAUAUUGGACGAUGGGCGAAAGCCUGAUCCAGCACUGCCGCGUGUGUGCUGAAGGUCUUCGGAUUGUAAAGCACUUUAAGUUGGGAGGAAGGGCAGUAAGUUAACACCUUGCUGUUUUGACGUUACCAACAGAAUAAGCACCGGCUAACUUCGUG
rnacentral:rRNA from 1 species